UACAGAGGUCUCAAGCGUUGUUCGGAUUCAUUGGGCGUAAAGGGUGCGUAGGCGGCGCGGUAAGUCGGGUGUGAAAUCUCGGGGCUUAACUCCGAAACUGCAUUCGAUACUGCGGUGCUUGAGGGAGCUGGAGAGAGACUGGAAUUGAUGGUGUAGCAGGUGAAAUGCGUAGACAUCGAUAAGGAAGACCAGUGGCGAAGGCGGGUCUCUGGACAGUUCCUGACGCUGAGGCACGAAGGCCAGGGGAGCAAACGGG
rnacentral:rRNA from 1 species